UACGUAGGGGGCGAGCGUUGUCCGGAUUUAUUGGGCGUAAAGAGCUCGUAGGCGGUUUGGUAAGUCGGGUGUGAAAUCUCCACGCUCAACGUGGAGGGGCCACUCGAUACUGCCAUGACUCGAGUCCGGUAGAGGAGUGUGGAAUUCCCGGUGUAGCGGUGAAAUGCGCAGAUAUCGGGAGGAACACCCGUAGCGAAGGCGGCACUCUGGGCCGGAACUGACGCUGAGGAGCGAAAGCCAGGGGAGCAAACAGG
rnacentral:rRNA from 1 species